AUUGAACGCUGGCGGCAGGCCUAACACAUGCAAGUCGAGCGGUUGAGGGGAGCUUGCUCCCUGAUUCAGCGGCGGACGGGUGAGUAAUGCCUAGGAAUCUGCCUAUUAGUGGGGGACAACGUUUCGAAAGGAACGCUAAUACCGCAUACGUCCUACGGGAGAAAGCAGGGGACCUUCGGGCCUUGCGCUAAUAGAUGAGCCUAGGUCGGAUUAGCUAGUUGGUGAGGUAAUGGCUCACCAAGGCGACGAUCCGUAACUGGUCUGAGAGGAUGAUCAGUCACACUGGAACUGAGACACGGUCCAGACUCCUACGGGAGGCAGCAGUGGGGAAUAUUGGACAAUGGGCGAAAGCCUGAUCCAGCCAUGCCGCGUGUGUGAAGAAGGUCUUCGGAUUGUAAAGCACUUCAAGUUGGGAGGAAGGGUUGUAGAUUAAUACUCUGCAAUUUUGACGUUACCGACAGAAUAAGCACCGGCUAACUCUGUGCCAGCCGCCGCCGUAACAC
rnacentral:rRNA from 1 species